CCUACGGGUGGCAGCAGUGAGGAAUAUUGGUCAAUGGGCGGGAGCCUGAACCAGCCAAGCCGCGUGAGGGAAGAAGGUACAGCGUAUCGUACACCUCUUUUGUCAGGGAACAAAGGCGGGGACUAGUCCCCGGAUGAGGGUACCUGAAGAAAAAGCAUCGGCUAACUCCGUGCCAGCAGCCGCGGUAAUACGGAGGAUGCGGUGGUUAUCCGGAGUUAUUGGGUUUAAAGGGUGGGCAGGCGGCCUGUUAAGUCAGCGGGAAAAGCCCGGGGCGCAACCCCGGCGAGCCGUUGAAACUGGCGGGCUGGAGUUGGAGAGAAGUACGCGGAAUGCGCGGUGUAGCGGUGAAAUGCUUAGAUAUCGCGCAGAACCCCGAUUGCGAAGGCAGCGUACCGGCUCCACACUGACGCUGAGGCACGAAAGCGUGGGUAUCGAACAGGAUUAGAUACCCGAGUAGUC
rnacentral:rRNA from 1 species